rnacentral:rRNA from 1 species
UACGGAGGGUGCAAGCGUUAAUCGGAAUUCCUGGGCGUAAAGCGUGCGUAGGCGGUUUGUUUAGUCAGAUGUGAAAGCCCCGGGCUCAACCUGGGAACUGCAUUUGAUACUGGCAGACUAGAGUAUGGUAGAGGGGGGUAGAAUUCCACGUGUAGCAGUGCAAUGCGUAGAGAUGUGGAGGAAUACCGAUGGCGAAGGCAGCCCCCUGGGAUAAUACUGACGCUCAUGCACGAAAGCGUGGGGCGCAAACAGG